ACCAAAAAAAAACAAAGCAAAAGAAUGCAAAAUCAUUCACGCAUCAACAACGCCUCUCCAGCUCUGUCUCAAUGCUAAAGCCUCUCCAAUCCAACCUCAAAUCCACAUCCAAUCCAACUCAGCGGCGCUUCUUCUAUCUCUCUACCCUUUUGUUCGAAGUUUCCACCGUUUAUCGAAUCUAAAAUCUCAGGUUGCUAGAAACAAAACCAAUCUAUUAUUCCUUUUGGUUCAUAGUAGAAAAAGCAUGGUGCUAGAAAAGACCGUACUGGUGAAGAAGAAACAUGGCAGCUAUCAUGUUUUUACCCCAUGAUUGAGGAACAAGGAAGAAUGUGUGUUGCGUUGCGUGGACUUCAGGAUACGCAGGACUGACAGAGUUACAGUUAUUGGUUAAUCUCCUUGUAUUGUUGCCGUCUCAGAAAACCAAAUCAUGUAGAAAUAUUCUUCUCUGACAGAUCCCAAGAAAAAAAAAAAAAAAUGUUCAUAAUUCCUUAAAUCCUCUCCGCAAGAAUUUUAAAGGUUGUAUUUGUCGUUCAGUGUUUAUAAUUUUUAAAUUACACAAUUUCUUAA